rnacentral:misc_RNA from 1 species
AGAAUAAAGUUUCAAGCUUUAAACUCGAGGAUGACUUCUCUUCAAGUGGAGGAGUUUAACUUAAGGGCUUUUAUUCCUACAUAUACUUGGACCAGAAAUUCUAAAUAUCCAUUCAAAAGAUAUACAUGUUUAUAAUCAAUUGGCCUUUCAAGAAUUUGAGUCGGAUGUCUAAUAUUUCUGCCAAUGUCAAUGUGAAAGGUUGUUGGUAGAAUUUGUAAAAGUAAGG